CAUAUCCCAAACCAUCACCAUAGCAACUGACUAAGUGCCAUGGACUUUCUGUAAAUGUAUGUCCUCUAGGUUACCAUCACCAGCACAUGAGAGAGCAUCUGCCACAUGGCACUUAAUAAAUGCUUGUGGAUUGAAUGACUGAUUAAGAUGGAACUGCAAAGAAUCUUGCUGGACAGCCUUUGAUAAGAUUCUCCUCUUCACCAGCUCAUUGACUCCUCUGCCUGAAACCAUCCCCUCCUGAUUGGUGAUUACCUUCCCAGUUCCAUGAUUUUAUGAGAGACCUCAGCUGUGGCAAACAAGCUAAGCCAGUUGGUCAGCUCCUGUCAGGUA
rnacentral:lncRNA from 1 species